CAGCCCAGCCCCACUGUGGGCUGAGGGGCUGUGUGCACCAUGGCCUGGACCCCUCUCCUCCUCGUGCUCCUCUCUCACUGCACAGGUUCCCUCUCCCAGGCUGUGCUGACUCAGCCGCCCUCCCUCUCUGCAUCUCCUGGAGCCACAGUCAGACUCACCUGCACCCUCAGGAGUGACAUCAAUGUUGGCAGCUACUACAUCAACUGGUACCAGCAGAAGCCAGGGAGCCCUCCCAAGUUCCUCUUGUGGUAUAAAUCAGACUCAGACAAGGGCCAGGGCUCCGGGGUCCCCAGCCGCUUCUCUGGAUCCAAAGACACCUCGGCCAAUGCAGGGCUCCUGACCAUCUCUGGGCUGCAGCCUGAGGACGAGGUCGACUAUUACUGUGGGAUCUGGCACAGUAGUGCUCCUCACAGUGACUCACACACAUGGGGAAGUGGGACAAAAACCUUAGCCUACCAGAGUUUUCUUUCAAGACAAUUUAACAUUUUUUGUAUGCACGAACAUAAUUUGUGUGUAUAUAAAUAUACUCGGAGGUACCGUCUGGUUUAUGAUGGGUCUACUCCCAGUUUUCCAUCCCACUUCUAGAGUCUCAGGGACACGGAGGCCAAACUGAACACACAGUGGUCACGGUGACACUGAUAUAUGCUAGUACCUACGCAUCUGCAGUAAAAGAAAACAUCGAUAAAAAUAUUUUUGUGUACUUUUCAAUUUCACUGUGACACUUAAUAUUCCAUAUGACUCUAAAUAAACCCCAUUCCUCCAUCCCUGGUGCUGCUUAUAAAAACUG